rnacentral:misc_RNA from 1 species
AAAAAAAAAGUAUUAACAGGCAUGAAGAAGCAUUGAUUAUUUAAACUGACAAAACAGCAUGCACUGGCAUUCUGGCACCGCUAAUAUUUGGACAAAAUUAUGUAGUUCUGCAAUAAUUUUCAUCUAGCAAGAAGCACCACUCAUUAAAUUAGCGACAGCUUACAGAAAAAUUUUCAAAUAUUAUAAGGGCAAGUAAGAUAACAUACCUCACGUACGAU